rnacentral:rRNA from 1 species
AGAGUUUGAUCCUGGCUCAGAUUGAACGCUGGCGGCAGGCUUAACACAUGCAAGUCGAGCGGGGAAAGGUAGCUUGCUACCUGACCUAGCGGCGGACGGGUGAGUAAUGCUUAGGAAUCUGCCUAUUAGUGGGGGACAACAUUCCGAAAGGAAUGCUAAUACCGCAUACGCCCUACGGGGGAAAGCAGGGGAUCUUCGGACCUUGCGCUAAUAGAUGAGCCUAAGUCAGAUUAGCUAGUUGGUGGGGUAAAGGCCUACCAAGGCGACGAUCUGUAGCGGGUCUGAGAGGAUGAUCCGCCACACUGGGACUGAGACACGGCCCAGACUCCUACGGGAGGCAGCAGUGGGGAAUAUUGGACAAUGGGCGAAAGCCUGAUCCAGCCAUGCCGCGUGUGUGAAGAAGGCCUUUUGGUUGUAAAGCACUUUAAGCGAGGAGGAGGCUACUUAGAUUAAUACUCUAGGAUAGUGGACGUUACUCGCAGAAUAAGCACCGGCUAACUCUGUGCCAGCAGCCGCGGUAAUACAGAGGGUGCGAGCGUUAAUCGGAUUUACUGGGCGUAAAGCGUGCGUAGGCGGCUUUUUAAGUCGGAUGUGAAAUCCCUGAGCUUAACUUAGGAAUUGCAUUCGAUACUGGGAAGCUAGAGUAUGGGAGAGGAUGGUGGAAUUCCAGGUGUAGCGGUGAAAUGCGUAGAGAUCUGGAGGAAUACCGAUGG